AGCAGCGUGGCUUAGUGGAAAGAGCACGGGCUUGGGAGCCAGAGGUCAUGGGUUCGAAUCUUAGCUCUGCCA
rnacentral:tRNA from 1 species